rnacentral:rRNA from 1 species
GAUGAACGCUGGCGGCGUGCCUAAUACAAGCAAGUCGAGCGAACGGACGAGAAGCUUGCUUCUCUGAUGUUAGCGGCGGACGGGUGAGUAACACGUGGAUAACCUACCUAUAAGACUGGGAUAACUUCGGGAAACCGGAGCUAAUACCGGAUAAUAUUUUGAACCGCAUGGUUCAAAAGUGAAAGACGGUCUUGCUGUCACUUAUAGAUGGAUCCGCGCUGCAUUAGCUAGUUGGUAAGGUAACGGCUUACCAAGGCAACGAUGCAUAGCCGACCUGAGAGGGUGAUCGGCCACACUGGAACUGAGACACGGUCCAGACUCCUACGGGAGGCAGCAGUAGGGAAUCUUCCGCAAUGGGCGAAAGCCUGACGGAGCAACGCCGCGUGAGUGAUGAAGGUCUUCGGAUCGUAAAACUCUGUUAUUAGGGAAGAACAUAUGUGUAAGUAACUGUGCACAUCUUGACGGUACCUAAUCAGAAAGCCACGGCUAACUACGUG